CCUACGGGGGGCAGCAGUGGGGAAUAUUGGACAAUGGGGGGAACCCUGAUCCAGCGACGCCGCGUGAGUGAAGAAGUAUUUCGGUAUGUAAAGCUCUAUCAGCAGGGAAGAAAGAAAUGACGGUACCUGACUAAGAAGCCCCGGCUAACUACGUGCCAGCAGCCGCGUUAAUACGUAGGGGGCAAGCGUUAUCCGGAUUUACUGGGUGUAAAGGGAGCGUAGACGGCGAUGCAAGUCUGAAGUGAAAGGCCGGGGCUCAACCUCCGGACUGCUUUGGAAACUGGAUGGCUGGAGUGCAGGAGAGGUAAGUGGAAUUCCUAGUGUAGCGGUGAAAUGCGUAGAUAUUAGGAGGAACACCAGUGGCGAAGGCGGCUGACUGGACUGUAACUGACGUUGAGGCUCGAAAGCGUGGGGAGCAAACAGGAUUAGAUACCCGUGUAGUC
rnacentral:rRNA from 1 species